CCUACGGGAGGCAGCAGUAGGGAAUAUUGGACAAUGGGCGAAAGCCUGAUCCAGCCAUGCCGCGUGAGUGAUGAAGGCCUUAGGGUUGUAAAGCUCUUUCAGCGGGGAAGAUAAUGACGGUACCCGCAGAAGAAGCCCCGGCUAACUUCGUGC
rnacentral:rRNA from 1 species